GGAUAACUGCUUUUAAUUAAAAAAGAGGAAAGUCCGGGCUCCACAAGGUUAUGGUGCCGGUUAAUUGCCGGCGAGGGCAACCUCAGGGAAAGUGCCGCAGAAAAUAAACCGCCCUAAUUGAAAUUUAUAGGGUAAGGGUGAAAAGGUGAGGUAAGAGCUCACCGCUUUUUUGGUAACAAAAAAGGCAUGGUAAACCCCACCAGGAGCAAGAUCAAAUAGAGUUACGUAAGCUUUAUCUUGGCUGUAACUGGGUUGAUCGCAAGACUUAAUUGGUAACAAUUAAGCUAGAUGAAUAGUUAUCGAUUUUUUUAAGAAAUUACAGAACCCGGCUUAUAGAUUAUCUG
rnacentral:RNase_P_RNA from 1 species